rnacentral:rRNA from 1 species
UUGAUUAUGACGUACUUGUACUGAUUGAGAUUUUAACACGAAGUGAGUGGCGAACGGGUGAGUAACACGUGGGUAACCUGCCCAGAAGUAGGGGAUAACACCUGGAAACAGAUGCUAAUACCGUAUAACAGAGAAAACCGCAUGGUUUUCUUUUAAAAGAUGGCUCUGCUAUCACUUCUGGAUGGACCCGCGGCGUAUUAGCUAGUUGGUGAGGCAAAGGCUCACCAAGGCAGUGAUACGUAGCCGACCUGAGAGGGUAAUCGGCCACAUUGGGACUGAGACACGGCCCAGACUCCUACGGGAGGCAGCAGUAGGGAAUCUUCCACAAUGGACGCAAGUCUGAUGGAGCAACGCCGCGUGAGUGAAGAAGGGUUUCGGCUCGUAAAGCUCUGUUGUUAAAGAAGAACGUGGGUAAGAGUAACUGUUUACCCAGUGACGGUAUUUAACCAGAAAGCCACGGCUAACUACGUGCCAGCAGCCGCGGUAAUACGUAGGUGGCAAGCGUUAUCCGGAUUUAUUGGGCGUAAAGCGAGCGCAGGCGGUCUUUUAAGUCUAAUGUGAAAGCCUUCGGCUCAACCGAAGAAGUGCAUUGGAAACUGGGAGACUUGAGUGCAGAAGAGGACAGUGGAACUCCAUGUGUAGCGGUGAAAUGCGUAGAUAUAUGGAAGAACACCAGUGGCGAAGGCGGCUGUCUGGUCUGCAACUGACGCUGAGGCUCGAAAGCAUGGGUAGCGAACAGGAUUAGAUACCCUGGUAGUCCAUGCCGUAAACGAUGAUUACUAAGUGUUGGAGGGUUUCCGCCCUUCAGUGCUGCAGCUAACGCAUUAAGUAAUCCGCCUGGGGGAGUACGACCGCGAGGUUGAAACUCAAAAGAAUUGACGGGGGCCCGCACAAGCGGGGGGAGCAUGUGGUUUAAUUCGAAGCUACGCGAAGAACCUUACCAGGUCUUGACAUCUUCUGACAGUCUAAGAAGAUAAGAGGUUCCCUUCGGGGACAGAAU